UUAGAAGUAGAAGAAAGAAAAAUGA
rnacentral:sRNA from 1 species